AACGAACGCUGGCGGCGUGGCUAAGGCAUGCAAGUCGAACGGUCUAGGGACUAGAAACUAGGCACUAGAGACUAGAAACUAGAAGGAGGCGUCAAGGACGCAAACUUCUGAUCUAAUAUCUAGUUUCCAGUUUCUAGUCUCUAGAUAGUGGCGAACGGGUGAGGAAUACAUGGAUGACGUACCCCAGACACAGGGAUAGCGGCGGGCCGCAAGGUCCUUUGCGAAAGUGCCGGAAUACCUGAUGACCCCGCGAGGUCGCAUGAUCAUGCGGGCAAAGCUCCGACGGUCUGGGAGCGGUUCAUGUCCUAUCAGCUAGUUGGCGGGGUAACGCCCACCAAGGCGUCGACGGGUAUCGGGCGUGAG
rnacentral:rRNA from 1 species